ACCCAUGAAAGCUGAUGCCCAAAUAAAUAGAUUAGUCUUUAAGGUGCCACCGGACUCCUUGUUGUUUUUGUGGAUACAGACUAACACACCCACCCCCUGAUACUUCAGAUCCAAAAGGCCCCCUACUCCCAUUACAGUGGAAAAAAUUUUCCACCAAAUGCAUCCGAUGAAGUGAGCUGUAGCUCACGAAAGCUUAUGCUCUAAUAAAUUUGCAGACUCAGGGCAGUGGUACUGUGUUAGUCACGCUUUUGGCAGCUCCUCUCUCUCCCAGGGGUGGACUCAGGCAGCACUGGUUACCCUCAGAUUGUUUUUGGAAGGUUAUCACUACAGCCAUGAGGCUUAGCCACUUUUUAAAUGCAAGCUGAGCAUCAGGAGAAUCUGAAUACACCUGUGGGCCCCAUACAAAUGCCUCAUGGGGCCUGCAUGUUUGUCACACCUGUCAUUUUCAGCUGGAGAGGUGUGCUCAGUUGGUUUGCAGCUCCAUGUUGCUAAAGCUUUUGAUUGAUUUGGUUUUGGGGUGGCUCUCUUGAUUUAGGUAGCACCGGAAACUGAGUGUCCCUGAUUUGUGUCUUAAUUGUAGCAGAAGCCAUCCAGACUUGAUUUAAAUACUUCAAGGAAUGGAGAAUCCAGCCCAUCCUUAAAAACUUGUGCCUUACUUCCAGUAUGAAUGUAUCUCACUCCAGCUUCUAGGCGCUGGAUGAAAGAGCCCUGUGCCAUGAGAAAUUGCCUCUCGAUGUAGACCCAACAUGUCAGCAACAGCAGUGUGCAGGCGGUCAGAUUAGGUGAUCAUAGUAGACCCUUCUGACCUUAAAGGCUGAGUCUAUGUCACCUCUUAACGUUCUCUUCUAUAAACUACAUAGUCUGUGCUUUUUCAGUGUCUCCCUGUGAGGCAGGUUUUCCAGACCAUGAGUUGCUCUUGUGACUUUUUCUGAACCCUUUCCAAUUUAUCAACAUCCUUUUUGAAGUCUGGACACCCCAACUAGACAUGGUAAACAGAGACUCAAGGAGCUCAAUCACUAUCAUCUUACCAGCAGUUUUAGUGAUGGCUUUCAUUUCUCCAGGACUCUUUAUGGCAUGGAAGGCCCCAGAGUUUUGAGACAGGAAAUUGACUAGUGAAGCCCUGGCUACUUCUACCACUCGGCUACAUGGACCAUAUUCUGGACAGCAGUGACUCUCUGAAUAGGACUUAGGGUUUGUGGUGGAAACCAACUGAACAUGAGCUCCCAGCACAAGGCUGUGACUAAGAGAGCGAAUAUGAUCCUUGGAUAUAUAAGAAGAGGGAUAUUGAAUAAGGGCAAGAAUGUGGUAUUUCCCUCUGAAUACAGCAUUAGUGAGACCAUCACUGGAUGCUGUGUCCAGGACUGGUGUUCACACUUCAGAUCGGAUGGUGACAAAUUAGAAAGGGUUUUGAAAAGAGCUACGAGGAUGAUCUGGAAAGCCUACCUUAUAAUGAGAGACUGAAAGAGAUUUAUCUAUUGAAUAUGUCCAAGAGAAGGCUAAGAUUCCCAUCUGUAGGCACCUCUGUGGGGAGUGGAUUUCUGAUAGCAGAGGGCUCUUUAAUCCAUCAGACAAAGGCAGAAUGAGAUCCAAUGGCCGGGAGCUCAAGGAAGAGAAUUCAGGGUAGAAAUAAGACACAGGUUUUUAAAUGGGAGGGAAUAUCUCCCCUUGGGAUGUGUUGGAUUCUAGAUUGCAGAGAGUCUGUAAAUCAUCCUGGAGCAUCUCUCCUGAAAAGCUAUGCUCUAGCUCAGCCAGAUGCAGGAAUCACUGAGAUUUUCUAGUCAGGAUUAUAUAGGAAGCCAGACCGGAUAAGCCCUUCUGACCUUAACAUCUCUGAACAGUACAGUACAGUAGUCCCUGGAGAUCAGAGCUAUGCUGUGCAGGAUGCCGUACAAACACAGAGCGAGGGGCAGGCCCUGCCCUAAUUUAAGGCCUUGAUCCUGCAAGGACUUAAGCAUCUGUGAGUAGUUCACUGACUUCAGUACCUAAAGUUAAGCAUGCGUGUAAGUCUUUGCAGGAUCAGGACCUCAAGAUGAGACAGACAAAGGUUGGGUGGGGAAACAGAGACUAAUAGAAGAAAAGAAACUUGCCCAUGGCAGGUCAGCAGCAGAGCCAGGAAGAGAACCCAGGAGGCCUGGAUUCCAGCCUAGUGUUCUGUCCACUAGACCACGCUGCCUCAUUUGAAUGGAGCAAGGUCAUUUUAUGCCAGCUGAGGAUCUAGCCUCUUGAAGCACACAUGAGGCUUUCUUCAGAGACCCUGUUUUGGGGGUUUAUAGUAUGCUCAGGUAGUCCAUUCCAUAAAGAUCUAUCAUCUAGGAGUUAGCCACUGGAACAGACCAGCUUUGGGGCCUGUUACAGGGCUAUCAUCUAGUCUGACCUUCUGUACAUCACAGGCCAGAGAAUUUUUCCCAGUUCCCCCUGUGUUGAGCCUAAUCGCUUGUGUUUGGCUAAAGCAUUUUCUGAAAAGGUCUCCAGCCUGGAGACAACAAGAGAUGCAGACUCCACCACUUCCUUUGGGAGUCUGUUCCAGUGGGUAAGGCACACAUUUAUACAAGUGAGGGUGAUUAUUUCUUAUUGGAAUUCAACUGGCUUCCGCUUCCAGCCAGUGGUUCUUGUUCUGCCUGUCUCUGCUAGAGUAAAGAGUCUUUUAGUACCUGGUAUUUUGUCCCGUGAAGGUCCUGCUGCACCAUAAUCAUAUAAUCUCUCAAUUUUCUUUUUGGAAGAGACCGAGUUCAUUAAGGCUCUCCCUCAA